CAGGCCUAACACAUGCAAGUCGAACGGAGUUUAAAUGAAAGCUUGCUUUUGCUUAAACUUAGUGGCGGACGGGUGAGUAACGCGUGGAUAACCUGCCAUACACAGGGGGAUAACAGUUAGAAAUGACUGCUAAUACCGCAUAAGCGCCCGAGGGGGCAUCCUCUCGAGUGAAAAGCGAAUACGGUGUAUGAUGGGUCCGCGUCCGAUUAGCCAGUUGGCGGGGUAAGAGCCCACCAAAGCGACGAUCGGUAGCCGGCCUGAGAGGGUGAACGGCCACAUUGGGACUGAGAGACGGCCCAAACUCCUACGGGAGGCAGCAGUGGGGGAUAUUGCACAAUGGGGGGAACCCUGAUGCAGCGACGCCGCGUGAGUGAAGAAGUUAUUCGUAAUGUAAAGCUCUAUCAGCAGGGAAGAAGCAGACGGUACCUGACUAAGAAGCACCGGCUAAAUACGUGCCAGCAGCCGCGGUAAUACGGAGGAUGCGAGCGUUAUCCGGAUUUAUUGGGUUUAAAGGGUGCGCAGGCGGCGUGUCAAGUCAGCGGUCAAACUGCGGGGCACAACCCCGUACCGCCGUUGAAACUGGCGCGCUCGAGUGUGUGCGAGGAUGGCGGAAUGCGCGGUGUAGCGGUGAAAUGCAUAGAUAUCGCGCAGAACUCCGAUUGCGAAGGCAGCUGUCCAGCACGCCACUGACGCUCAUGCACGAAAGCGUGGGUAUCGAACAGGAUUAGAUACCCUGGUAGUCCACGCGGUAAACGAUGAUAACUAGUUAUCCGGCUAAAUUGGUAGCUGGGUGACCGAGCGAAAGCGUUAAGUUAUCCACCUGGGGAGUACGCCGGCAACGGUGAAACUCAAAGGAAUUGACGGGGGCCCGCACAAGCGGAGGAACAUGUGGUUUAAUUCGAUGAUACGCGAGGAACCUUACCCGGGCUUGAACGUAAGACGAAGAGGCAGGAAACUGUCUCGCCUUCGGGCGUUUUGCGAGGUGCUGCAUGGUUGUCGUCAGCUCGUGCCGUGAGGUGUUAGGUUAAGUCCUGCAACGAGCGCAACCCUUACCUUCAGUUGCCAGCACGUAAUGGUGGGGACUCUGGAGGAACUGCCUACGCAAGUAGAGAGGAAGGUGGGGAUGACGUCAAAUCAGCACGGCCCUUAUGUUCGGGGCUACACACGUGCUACAAUGGCGUGUACAGAGGGCAACUACCCCGCGAGGGGAUGCCAAUCCUCAAAGCACGUCUCAGUUCGGAUUGGAGUCUGUAACUCGACUCUAUGAAGUUGGAUUCGCUAGUAAUSGSGCAUCAGCCAUGGCGCGGUGAAUACGUUCCCGG
rnacentral:rRNA from 1 species